CGGUCGACAGCAGCUUAGCCAGAUUGAC
rnacentral:sRNA from 1 species